UACCUUAUAGAAGGUAAGGCUGUCAGUCUUGCUGUACUUGCUACACCUUAUACAAGAUGCGUGGACUGUUGUUGUUGUUGCUGCUGGUUAUGGUAAUGGCUGCCUUUGUGGCUGCCAAACCUCACAGUGGCUCCCACGAGAUCUUCUUGAACCCAUACGGCUACGGCGGAGGUUUCGGGGGGUUCAACAGAUUUGGCUACGGUGGAGGCUAUUACCCAGGAGGCUACUACGGUGGUUGGCGUCCUGGAGGCUUCUGGAAUGGCGGGUUCUACGGCUAGUUGGAGCACCUCUUCCGUACUUGUGGUACUUCGCUCACUUCGACUAACAUUUAGCGCUGAUGUCAUGUACUAGUUAAACCUUCUGUACCAUGUGUCACAUUAUUUUUAACAAUCUGUAGCAGUAAUUUAUGUAACUAACAUUUAUCAAUAAAACAUAAUAAACAAA